rnacentral:sRNA from 1 species
GCGUGCUCCGGGCGUCGGCC